GAGAAGAUGAAAUAAUGAUAGACGCUGCGUGUAAAGUAUCACUUCCAUCAACUCUUGUGAAGACCAUUUACUUAUUUUUCGAUCUUCCCGCAGCUGCGACUACAGUUACUGUAACAGAUUUAACAGAGAAUGCAACAGAAACAGAAGACGAAAUGUUGAAGAAUAAUGAGAAGCUUCACGAUAUGAUUGGACAGAUUAUGGAGGGAUUGUGUAGAUUCAAGUUGGUUUUUGUUUGAAAUUAUAUUGACUUUAAAUCGGAAAUUUACAGAUGUGUCAGUGAGGAAUUGGUGAGGAAGGAUGACUUACUGCUACUUUUUGUUGGAACAACGUCUCAAGUUGCCGAAGCGAAUAAUUGUUGGAGAAAACUAUGUGCAAGACUUUUGGAAGUUAUUGCAGAUAAG
rnacentral:sRNA from 1 species